GGAAGGGCAAUCAAGUCUACAGUGGUUCCCUCAGUGUAGCCACAAUCACCCACUUCUGCCCGUCAAAGAAAACACUACUGAGACACGUGGUCCAGACGUAUCAGCCUUAUUCAAGGGAGGGCUCCUGAUGGAAGUCACAGUUCGCAAAAGGGCAAGUUCCCUCAAAGACAGGUAAUAUUUUUGGAGUAACAGGAAGGGGGAAAUACAAUGUCCUAAUAAUCACGCCCAACAGAACCUAACCAAACCUUUCCAGCAGUUGGACUGGGCCAGCCUUGGCACAAAUAAGUACACAGGUGACUUUAGAUGCUGCAGUUGAUUUCAAACAGGUGUCUCUGAUUUCUUCCCCGACACAGUCUGGAUAACGUGGGGUCAGUAUGUGUUGUGUAGAAUAGAGACAAGGACAGUCACUGAGUGGUAUUCUGUUGAAGAAUCAGGGAACCCUUCCACUCUCCCUUUCAGCUCUUUCAAACCUUCCCUUUUCCAAGUGGCCCUUCCCGCCAAAGGAGUCUCAAAAAGGCGACCUGUUGUAGUAGCCUCCAAGGUGCGGUCCCAGCCGCUGCCCCACGUCUCCUGGGGAGUCCGGUGGCCGCCUCGACUCCUCGGGCCGUAUAUUUGCAGAGACGAGGUGCUGGGCGGUGGGCCGGACUGCGGGGGGCCGUUAGUAUAGAUCCUCCUUCCCCGCGUCUACGAGCACCCCCCGGGUUCUGCCGAAAGCGCUCGCCCAAUCUCCCCUUUACUCUCUUUUCAAGUUCAGCUCAGGUACAGUGUGACAGUUACAGCGCCCGGGAGCUGGCAGGCGCCGCCGCUGCCGCGGCAGCAGCAUCUGCUUCCGCGCAGAACGCGCUUCUCCCGCGGUACAUACCUGGUAAAGUGCGCGCCGGGGCUGAGUUGCAUAGAGACUUUCUCCUCGUCGUGCACCCGGAAAGGGCUCCCGAGAAAGCAGCUCGCGAACAGCCUAAGCCGACGCGCCGAUGGGAGCAUAAAUAAAGCUCAAGCGAGCUCUUCUUCCCCUUCCCCCAUCCCUCCGUGCCUCCCUCCUCCUUUUCACCUUCCAAAAGCCAGGAGCAGGCGAGCCGAGCAGCAGCAACAAGUUCAAAAGAAAUUCCUGUUUUUCCUCCUUGUAUUACAUUUUACAUACUGUGCUUGGCUGACAGAAAAUAAACUCAGCGAAAUCAAAAUUGAAUUCAUCACUUUUCUUCUUGAGUCAGCUACUCCUGUUUUCUCUCCUUGGAUUAUUAUGAAGUGAAGUGAAAGUUGCUCAGUUGUGUCCAACUCUUUGCAACCCCAUGGACUGCACAGUCCAUGGAAUUCUCCAGCCCAGAAUACUGGAGUGGGUAGCCUUUCCCUUCUCCAGGGGAUCUUCCCAACCCAGGGAUCAAACCCAGGUCUCCUGCAUUGAAGGCAGAUUCUUUACCAGCUAAGCCACAAGGGAAGCCCAAGAAUACUGGAGUGAGUAGCCUAUCCAUUCUCCAAGGGAUCUUCCCAACCCAGGGAUUGAACCCAGGUCUCCCGCACCGCAGGUGAAAGCCCAAGAAUACUGGAGUGGGUAGCCUAUCCUUCUCCAGUGGAUCUUCCUGAUCCAGGAAUCAAACCAGGGUCUCCUGCAUUGCAGGCAGAUUCUUUACCAACUGAGCUAUCAGGGAAGCCCAUAGAUUAUUAUAACUCUCUAAAAGAGUCAGAGAAUCAAGCUGACCUAAUACCAAGAUGUAAAAUGGAAAACAGAUUAACAAUGAGACAAAUGUGUAUGGCUAUUUAAAAAAAAAAAAAGCUUUCUCAAUGUACAUACUGUAGUUGACUCUUAAAAGGGCUUUGCUAUUCUUAUAUUUAUUUUAGGCAAAAAGAAACAAAACUCAAGAUUUUUCAAAGAUUAUAUUCUACAUCUGAAUCACAGUUUUCCUUUCCAGGUCUGCUAAGCCUAAAUCACAUAUUCCUUUAAGUCUAUAAACACAACAAUAUCUGCAAUAAUUAAUUCUCUUUGCCAGUUUGUUGUUGUUUUUCAUACUGACGAUGAAUUUGCACAGACAGGUACAUACUACCUUACUCAUCCCCCAUGGCACAUCUCUGGGAGGUCUAUGGCCAGGACAGGAAAUCUGUCUGUGACCAUGGAGAAGGGGAGCAUUGCAUCUGUUCAUCCCAUAUUUUAACCAGUUAUGCUAACCUUCCACAGAUGUAAACAAAUUGCAAUAUCUAGAUUAGUAUAUCCAACUACAUUCUUAUAACCUCUUCUCUGACAACCCAUUGUAAGAGUUUGUAUUUGAUUAUUUUAAUGUUUUGUUUUCCAGGUGGUUCAAUGGUAAAGAAUCUGCCUGCAAUGCAGGAGACCCAGGUUCAAGCCCUGCAUCAGGAAGAUCCUCUGGAGAAGGAAAUGGCAACCCACUCCAGUAUUCUUGCCUGGAGAAUUCCAUGGAGAGAGGAGCCUGGUGGGCCACAGUCCAUAGGGUCACAAAGAGUCGACAGGACUGAAAUGACUGAGCAUGCAGUGUUUUUGUUGACAUAUAAUUGACGUAUAUAUGGUAUUAGUUUUAGGUGUACACCAUGAUUGACAUAUAUAAUAUGAUAUAUGUAUAUAUUGUAAAAUUAUCUCCACAAUAAAAUUUUCAAUUUAGUUUGUAUCCA
rnacentral:lncRNA from 1 species